ensembl:lncRNA
UGUCAUUCUGUGGUACAGGGAUUUUUGCAUCAGUAACUAGGUAACUAAGUAAUUGAAGUCACAGUGGUGUGGCCAUUGAUUUAGCUGCUGACCUUUGGUCCCAUUUUCUUCAUUUUCCUUUCUCUUCAUUCCUUUCCUGCAUAGGCUGUCUUUAGGGAGUAGGAGCCCUGAAAAUCACAAUUUAUGCUGCUUCAUUGGUCGACCUGCUCUCUCGCACCCUUGUUGUCCGUUACUCACAUGGGAGGUUUGGAACACUGUGGUCAAUGGUUAUAUGGUUUCCAGCCAUAGGUUUGACCUGGAAACCUUUGCCUGUCACAGGGGUUGAGUUGUUGGGCCUGGCAUUCUCAACACUCCUUUACGCCUCUUUCUUUUCCCCAUUCUCAUCAUUCUCUUAGUAACCAUGUAAAGAAAUGUGUGGCCUAGUUAGGAUCUAUACUGGUUACAGUUGGCUGCAUAUUUACAGUCUUGAAUUAGAACUCUACCACGGUUUGAAAGAUUCACUACUCCACACCCUUUUGUCCUUCAGCAGCAUCAUACUCUACAGUCUUCAUCUGCAAAGGCACUUUCCUGGAUUAUUCAUCCUUAUGUCAGGCUAGUGUACAAAUUCAUCUUUCAUGGUGUCAUUCUAGUUAAUUAAAUUAAAUGAUAUUCGUUUCUUACAUUGAAUGCUUUUGCUCUUCUCCAAAUCUUCCUUGGGAUAAUUUUCUUGUCAGCCCUGCUCAAGCCAGCCUUUGGUGCCACAGUCUGUGGCACUGGGAUUAGUGUCAGCAUCACCAGGGGGAAGGAGCUGUGAUUCUCUCUUGCUUUAGGGGUCUCUGGGGCCUGCUCUCACAAUCAGUGAAACUCUGUAUAUCAUUAUUGAUUCCUCCAAACUUAACUAUUGAGAGUCUGCUGUUGGCUGCAAGCCUUACAAAUAACAAACUGGCUACUGACACAUAUUUUGUGUAUUAUAUGUAUUAUAUAUGCUGAAAUAUAUGUGAGAACAAUUACAGAUCACUUUUUACUGUUAUUUGCAAUGUUCUGGUGAGAAAAAUUGCUCACAUAGAGCUGAUUAGGGCUGCUCAGCAUUUUAAACAGAUACUGGCAACAGUUGAGCAACUAGAGCUACCUACAAAAUUAUUACACCAGUGUACUAUAGACUACAGAUAAGUUUACACAAUUAUGGCUUAAUAUCACAUCUUUAAGUUUAUUUUAUUUCUCCACGGUAAAUCGUGCUAUGUAUGCUGUUUGUAUAUGGGUUUUGAUGAAUUUUAACUUUUCACACUAGAUUUGUCAAUAUUUUAUGAUUAUAAAAUGAUAAAAAUAAACUAUGGAUUCAUGACCAUAGCUUACUUGUCCUUAAUUCUUUCAAUUAUUCUAAACUACACAGUUUGCAUUUUUUUCUAAUUGUCAGAAAUUUUAAAAAAUAAAAAUCCAUGAGUAGGUGGACCCAUACAGUUCAAACCUGUGUUGUUCAUUGAUCAACUACAUAUUACAUUCUCAAGUAUGCUUCUAGUCAUUGUGGCAUCCAGGGAAUCUUGAAAGAUUAUGAGAAGUAGACUUCCAGUCACUAAACAGACAGUCAGAAUCAGUUGUUUUUGUUGGCCUGGCAGGGAGAGAGCAGUUUUCAGUGUCAAAUUUAAAGAGAUAUCUACAUCUAUGGAAGAUAAGAAGAUCAAUUUCAUUAGUAUGGGUUAAACCUUUAUUAUUGCUGUUGCUGUCGUUGUUAUCAAUUAUUUUCCGAUUGGAAAAUCUUUCUUCAGCAUCUCCAGAAACCUUGGCACUUGUCAGGUAAAUUGAUGAAACUGUAGUCGGGAAUAAAGAUUUGAGAGGUGUGUUGUGAUUGAAAUAAGCACUUCUGGAAGUAAACUAUAAGAACAUGAGAAAUGACUACUUAAAGUUUCAGACCACAGUGAAAAGACAAUUCGGAGACUCCUUACUUGCUAUUGCUCUGGAUAUAAUCCUAGAUAUACAGCCUGUGGAGUAAUUGAUUGAGCAGGAAUGAAAAAUGAUUUCACUAAGCAGUCAUUCUGAAUUUUUCAGAAACUACAGGAUACAUCUGAAUGUAAUUUUCUAACUCCCAAAAAUAUUGACGUCAGUUUGGAAGGACUGCGAACUAAAAUGGUAGCAGGAAGAAGGAAAGAAAAAAUAACCUCAGAAUGUACAGUAGUUACAAUUUGAUAGCCAGCUAAGAUAUAUUGCUUACUAAACUAGUACUGAAGCAGCAUAUUUCAGACAUUUUUAAAGGCACUCUUUGAAGAGAAUACCAUUUUACAUAUGGACUAAAAUAAUUAUCAUACUCAUGCUCCCUGUCAAUGUCAAGUUUGUUGUAAUACUGGAUAGUACAUCUUGGUGACUAUAAUCAGUAUUUAUUGUUCCUUGGGAAUGAACAAGGGAAUAUGCGUGCCACUGACCCAACUCUCAGUCAAUGGAAAACUUUCUAUGGGGUAAUCCAUUGGAAUGUCUAAGGAGAUAACAGCCUGUGAUUACUCUAAAACUAUGACAGUAGUCCUGCCUCAUGCAACUAAAGUACUUAGUGAUAAUUUUUAGCUAAUGGAAUAUUAGUAAUGUGCCUAUUGGAUCAAUUUAGAGGAGCAGAUAAUGUUGGAGAGUGAGAAGCAAGCCCUUCAUGUAAAAGCAUGGAUCUUCUGAGGUGUGGAAUAACUGGUCUGCCUUGGAAUUAACAGGUGUUUCAUAUUUAUAGCAUAUUGUGUACAGUAGUAGUUCUCAAUGUGGAUCAAUUUUCUUGGCUUCCAUUCAGUUAAGAGGAGAUUUGACAAUACCUAUGUACAUUUUUCAUUAUCAUAACUUGAACGGAGUGGGUAGAAGCCAAGAGUACUCUUUAACAUGCUGCACAGAGCAGCUUCUCUUUCUAAGCAUGUCCUGUAGUGUUGAGAUUGAGAAACUGGUUAUAAAUAUUAUGGUGUUCAAUAAGAUGAAUAUGAAAGUGGUUGUUAUUUUUCAAAAUAUAUUCACAAGUAAUACCCAUAAUGAAAGGUGUGCUUAUAGAACUAUAGGAGGAAACAUAUUCUAAUGUUUUAUGGAAUACCUUUCAUUUGCCCAAAAUGAAAAGAAUAUUUUUGCUACCAAUAUGGGAAGCAGAAGAAAGCAUUACCAUACACAAAAGCACAUUUAGAGCCAAUAAAGAUUAUAUAAUGCUUAGAAAUUUUGUUUUGGAACUGCGCAGUGAGUAUCUGAGCAAUAUAUUUGUGGCAAAGAAUCAUUUGACUCAUUAUUCCUAGUAUGUUUCUCUGUUAAACACUUGACAAAAUAAAAAAUAACUGCCCUCUCUGUGAUUGGCCUAAGCUUUAGUUAUUUUUCAAUAAGUCAUGAAGCAGAAAUUUAGGACGCCAGAAAGCUAACAGCUAGUGGAUCAUCUAUUGUUUGGACAUGGCUAAUGUUUUCCCUUGGAGCCAAAGACUGACAAUGCCAACAACCAGUCAUUACUCCAUUAUAUCAUCUGACGUAGUUUCAAAGACAGGUCUCUUUUUUUUAAUGGAAGCAGUAAAUAAAACUGUUCAUACAUUUAGACAAAUACUCAUAGACACCUUAUAAGCUUUAUAUCUUCCAGUUUAACAAUAUGAUGUUGAUUCUCUGAGACUACCUCUGGUAGCUUACUUGGGAGCUAGAGCUAAGUUUUAUGAUUCGAUGAUUUUAACCUUUUCCCCAAGAUAUGGGGGAAAAUUCCUAAAUACCUGGUGUUGGUUAAGCAGACAUUUCCUUUACAGUUUUGAGCCAAGAAUUUUCUGGAUUGUGUACCUAGAAAUGAACAGCCUACAUAUUGUAUUUGGUUAUUGAUGUCAGAGUUUUUCUCUGUUUAUUUUGGCCACUUAUAUACAUUUUAUAGCUGUGGAAAUGUUCACAAUAUCUCUAAGGUAGGUAGUGUCAGUUGUAUGGAAAAGCACUACGUCAUGUCUUUUGCAUAGGCCUGAAGAUAUUUUUCAGUACUUUUGUAAGUAGGUUAGUAACAUCCUAAACAGUUGUGUGGUAUUUUCCUAGACCAUGUGUACAAAGCUUCUAGAGACUGUGUCAGCUGAUUUCUCUGCCUAUAUUUUUAUGUUUGAGUGAAAUCUCCAGAUGAAACUAUACUUUUAAGACAAAGGAAUGAAAAGCAGAGAACUAUGGAACUAUACCAAAGGAAAACACAAAGAAACUUACUAGCUGGCAGAUAUUUGGGACUGAGAAAUAGCAGUAAUUCCUGCAGAUGUGGAGCCAGGAGCUCCAGCCUUAAAAAAGUCCUCAUAAUAUUUUUAGUUAACAGACCACCAAAAAGGCUGCAUACUGAAAGAAUUAUAAGGAAGAAUCUUCCAAGUGAUGAAGUUUGGCAAGAGACCGAGGCUGCUACUGUCACUACUAGAAAAGAGCUUGGCAAUAAUCUUCCACCUUCUGGAGAAAAGUGGGAAGAAAAUAAAUCUACGGUGUUCCAUUCUGGACCAAAGGGGAGCUUGGUUCUAAAUCUUGGCGAGAAGUGGGUGGCAGGAGAGACGAUAAAGAGAAAGGGGCUCUCGUAACAACUAAAUUAGUAAAAAUAGGACCUGGAAAAUCUAAAAUCUACCUUUUUCUAUCAUACUUAUUAAGGUGUAGAUGGAAAGAAUUGAGCAGAGAAGUCAAGCAAAUGCCGAUCUUUCUCCCACUGCAGAAAUUAUGUAUGGAAUGUAAGGUGAUAUCUAGACCCGAAUAAAGAUACAUCUUGGAUGGCUGUAUACCAUUCAUGUACGAGUGCAGCUAGAGACAGGUGGAGGAACACAGUCCUGCUGAAAAAUGCUGACCUCUCAAUCUUGGAUAUGCUUAUGAACAUUUACGAACAUGAUCAGAUCAACCCUCAGAUCCCAUAUUCCUAAAGGAUACCAUUAAGAGCAGCUUCCUGUAUCAUGGCGCCAAAGUGUACACAAUGAGUGAGUCACCCAGAGUCCUCAGCUAACUAGACUGACUUCUUCUGUAAUUUCUACUGCCUGCGAGCUGCAUUCAAAGGAUCCUGGGGGACCAACAAGCCACGCAAUGUCAACAAAACAUGGAGGAAGCUUGCAUUAGGGAAGAAGAUUUUGGGUUGGAUGAGCUGUCAAAUGAGACUUGCUGGCCAGAGAAUAGAAUCCUCCUUUGUCAGGAGACUGUGACCUUUGAAGAUGUAGCUGUGAAUUUUACCAAGGCAGAAUGGACUUUGCUGAAUCUACCCCAAAAGAAGCUCUACAGAGAUGUGAUGUGGGAAACAUGUAUGCAUAUGACUGCUAGAGGAAGAACUUGUGGUAACCAGUAUAUGGAAGAACAGUAUAAAAAUUGUUCAAGAGCCACUAUUUCUACUCUGUGAGAAGCACACUGACAUUUAUCUAGCUAUAUUAUUUCCCAUUGUAAUACAUCUUACACGAUACUUUCCAGCAUCUGCAUUGUAAGCAAUAAUGCAUUUUUUUUCAAUUUUGUCCUUGUUCUUCCUCUACCUCCAACUCUGAAACUGUCACUCUUAUACCCCCAACAGACUCAUAUAAAAGUUUUAUAAAACUUUUAUUUUUUUUUCCAAUGACUACUGAAGGAAUUGAAAACAAGUGCAAUGUUUUUAUAUCAGUCAGUCUCAAUAAUAUAUAUGUAAUAUAUAAUCAUAUUCCAUGGAAGAUGAGUUAUCUUUGGCAUGGUUUAUGCCAUGUCUCAGAUUUACCUGAAGAAUUCUUGUGGUAUAACACAAUAAAAAUACCAUGUGGGCCAAAUAGACAUUCUAUUUUAUGUUGUGUAAUAAUGUACAUUAGGGAAGUAAGACAUUAAUAAUACUUUGUAAAACAAAUGAAUGAAAUAAAAGAGGU